rnacentral:rRNA from 1 species
UACGUAGGGGGCAAGCGUUGUCCGGAUUUACUGGGCGUAAAGAGCGUGUAGGCGGCCAAACAGGUCCGUUGUGAAAACUGGAGGCUCAACCUCCAGACGUCGACGGAAACCGUGUGGCUAGAGUCCGGAAGAGGAGAGUGGAAUUCCGGGUGUAGCGGUGGAAUGCGUAGAGAUCCGGAGGAAGACCGGUGGCGAAGGCGGUCUGCUGGGCAGUUUCUGACACUGAGGCGCGACAGCGUGGGGAGCAAACAGG